AAAACGUUUUGUCUCAAGUGGACAGAUUGGAUCGACAUGUCUUCUGGUCCGUGGAAGCCAACCAGGAGGGCAAAACGACAGGCUGGUAGUUGCGGCGGCACCAACGUUUCGGUCUUGCUGGUGUCACUGGGAAUCCCGGCGGAGACUCCACAAUGGACCAAUCGCCUAUCUUCCAACGUAUCUUCCUGCUUCUCGCUGCUCUGGCAUAUAUAAAUGCAGUGCAUUGUGCGCACUGGCACAAAUGCCCAAACGGCAGCUACAUUGUUACGCUGAUAGAGUCCGAUAAGCCGACAGAGAUUGCUGCUGCGAACAAACUUCGGUUCAAUAUGGAAUGCAAGGCCAAUACCAUGGCUAUCCCCCGAGGUGGCAGCUGCUUGAGGGACUUCGCCGUUAGCUACGCAGACACCAGCACAUGUUACAGGAGUUUAUUCUCUGGAACUGCUCCGCCAGGGGAUUCUAGCAACAUAGCUUGUCCAGGGUUGGUUGGCGUGGGUAGCCGAGGUGACGGAAAAUCACCAUUAAUUUGUCAUUUUGACUGGUUGUCCAGGAAUGUGCUACACUGGACAGACAGGAGACGACCAAUCACUGUCUACCUGGCUAAACGGUCAGGCGGACCACGCAAUGCCACUAUGACCUGGGCGGAGGCAAGUUCCGCAUGCAACGCUUCGCUGCUGUCCGCGUCAUUCAUGAAUGUAUUACCAUUGGUGGGAGCGUAUGUUCGAUAUAUCGCUGACUUGCUCAACCAGACCAGGGUGUGGGCAUCAACACGGCAUUUCUCUCUCGAUGCCUCCAGUAACUUUACUAGGGAAUCUAGAGAGACGGCUGGCACAAGGUUGCUGCCGCUAUGUGCAGAGGUGGAUGAAUGUUCUCUUGCCAUCCACAAUUGCUCCACCAAUGGCCAGUGUGUCAAUAUGCUGGCGUCUUAUGUUUGCAGGUGCAACCCUCACUUUUCCGGGAUAUACU